GCGCCCUUAGCUCAGUUGGUAGAGCAUCUGACUUUUAAUCAGGUGGUCGCUGGUUCGAACCCAGCAGGGCGCA
rnacentral:tRNA from 1 species